ACCGUUGUCUGUGAACAUGUGUAAA
rnacentral:miRNA from 1 species